CGGGACGGGUGAGUAACGCGUGGGUAACCUGCCCUGUACAGGGGGGUAACAAUCAGAAAUGACUGCUAAUACCGCAUAAGACCACAGCACCGCAUGGUGCAGGGGUAAAAACUCCGGUGGUACAGGAUGGACCCGCGUCUGAUUAGCUGGUUGGUGAGGUAACGGCUCACCAAGGCGACGAUCAGUAGCCGGCUUGAGAGAGUGAACGGCCACAUUGGGACUGAGACACGGCCCAA
rnacentral:rRNA from 1 species